ACAUUUCGAUUUUAGUCCUACAUUCGUCGUAUGCGGCGUUUACCAGAUAAACAGUGACGUGCGGCAGCAGUUAAUUUGAUCGAUCGGGCAAUACCGAGCCAUUUAUCAGUAGAAAUCGAAUAGCAGAGUCAGUAUAUAUAUGUAAGAACCGCACGUACACCUAUAUGUCUCAUUACAUACUGAAAGCGAAUACGGGCGGUGUUGGCUUUACCUUUGGCACAGGUCGCUAAGCUUAAUGUAUAAAUUCAACAUAGAAUACCUUGUUAGAGGUUGUUGUUUGUAGAUCGUAGAGUGUUAUAAUGAACCGUUACUCAGCGCAGCGCAAACACCUACGCGAAACUGGUAGCAAAACUUCCAGUUUGCCCGCAUUUUACAUGAUAAGCAUAUAGAUUAAAGAACAAUGGAGGCAGGUGAGGCAUUUUCCGUUCCUGGGAGAAGAGACUGCGAUUAUUGUGUGCGAGCAGCACCAGUGUGUGUACGGUACGACCCGAAGUGACAAACUACUGUUUCCGGUUCAAGUGAUUGUUCCUUAACUUCUUGCGCCAGCAGUCUGUAUAGUAUUGUGGGACGUUGUUUUGUUUAUUGUUUUCUACUCACAGGUAGCCUCUGCCUAUAGCUAAACAAAGUGUGUGUGUAGUUCUGUAUUAAGGACACUCGUUUUAAACACGAUCGCAGCAAAGUCAUCGCAUUCGUGGUACUUUCCAUAAGAGCCAAGGCUUCUGGAUUGCAUCACAAAUAUAAAGCAGUUUAGCCAAUUGGGAAGCUUUAUAACUAUUAAUCAACUAUCUUAGUUCAGUUUUAAACUCAUCAAAAAGUAAGGCGUUGACUUUAUAAAACUUAUUCACUUCGUUACAGCUUAGAAACGUCGGCAUUACUGAUAAAAACUUAACAGAGGAAAUUCAUAAAUUUAACAAAACUUUUGCAAUCGUUUCAAGCACAACAGAUUCAGACCACACCCGGUAUCACCAGAAACAUGGCUACACGAUCCGUACGAGAGCUAGAGAAGCAAAUCGAAGAACUGAGGUACGAAGCAAACACUGAGAGAGUAAAGGUAUCGCAAUCCUGCAAGGAGCUGAUGGAUUACUGCGAGUCACACGCUUCUCAAGACUAUUUUCUCUAUAAAACGGACAAAACCAACCCGUUCAAAGAAAGCAGAUCACCCUGUGUUGUUCUCUAGCGCCAGUUUGCGGUCAUGAAAAUCUGUGUGUUUGUGCUUGCCGCGUUUUAUGUUAUGUAACCCGGCCUCCUUGCAAUUGGCUGCAGGUUGGGAUUCAGCAUGCUUCCGAUUGAAAUAAAAUUGUUUUAAAUCGAAUACAGUUUGAUAGUAAC